rnacentral:lncRNA from 1 species
UGAAAAGAGAGGUACAUUUACGACACUAGACAUGUUUCCUAAAGUUAAAAGUCUUGUUAUGCCAAGUAUGUUCUCUCAAUUUCCAGUUGUUGGUUACUCUAAUGGCAUUGUUUGUUUAGAAAAUAUCUCGAAUUAUGCUAUUUACCUCUGGAAUCCGACUAUUAGGCAGUACAAGAAAAUCGAUGCUCCUUUUCGAUGCAGAUUCAACUAUAAGUUAGGUUUUGGUUUUGAUUCUAUUUCUAACGACUACAAGGUAUUUGGUAUUGUGUAUGAAACAUGGACUGCCGUUAUACCUUUAGUCUUUGUGUAUUCGGCAAAUGCCGAUAGUUGGAGAAAAUUUCAAGAUCCUGUUCUGGAAAAACUCAAUCCAAUAUACAAGGAUUGUCAUGUUGUUGCAAAAGGUGUACUCUAUUUCUACAACAGGAAUGAGCUCAUCUCUUUUGAUUUGCACAAAGAGGUUUUUGGACUAGUUCCGUUCCCUAGCUUAGAUCCAAGAAAGAUGUCACACAUCUUUGAUUAUGAAGGUUCUGUUGCUCUGUUCUUCCACUCUGAUGGUAAUGGAGGAUCUGAUCUAUGGACGUUGGAUGAUGCUUCUCACCAGGUGUCUUGGUCUAAAAAAUGCAACAUUAAUCUAAUGACCGAGGAAUAUGGGUGCUCUAUAAUGCCACAUUGUUAUUUGGGUGAAGGACAGUUUUGGGGACUGUCACUUGUCGAUGUCAAUGUCCCUGUUGAAGAUAGCAUCUUCCACUACAUCUUGUAUAACUCCGACAAGAGAAAGGCCAAAGGUUAUGGCCUAAGAGAAGAGGGUGUUCUUGCUACUCUACAAUACACGGAUACACGUGUUACAUUUGAUGGUUUUCAACCACUGGAGGAAAAUGCCAACUAAAUCAAUUUCGAGGAAAUAACAUCGAGAGGUAACUUAAUAAAAGUUUUUUUUAAUCUAUUGUUGUGUAGCCUCUAGAAUCUACAUAUAAUGCUUGUUUGAUUGACAUGUGAGUAACCAGAGAUUUGAAUUUCCUAAGAAAGGCGCACUGAAAAUGUUGUUUGGUUGACAUGUAUGGGAACUGUGAAUACCCACAUCGUACAGUAAGUUGCUUACUCACUCCCUCUUGGUUAGUUCCACUUCUAUGGACUUAAAUACCUAUAUGUCACCCAACCAAUUUUUCCUACUUACUAGGCAUUUUAAAUUCCAAGUACUUAAAAAUUUUUGACAGGAAUUUAAUUCCAUUCUUGUUUUCAGCAAGUUGCUUACAAGUACUCCGGCGAAUGUGCUUUUACGGGACAUGUGUUCCAUUAUAAUAUAUUGGUGCCUUUAUUAUCUGAUAUUGAUUUAUUAAAUUUCGUAUCACCCAAGUACCCGGUGAAUUGGAUAAAUUAACAAUUCUUCUAUCCAUGACAACCUAUGUGUGUGGGUUUGUAUGUUGUAAUUAGUUUGUGUGUGUGUGUGUAUGAUACCAUGUUUUUAAAAUGUGAACNUCAAAAGAUCUUCGAAUCAUGAAAACAUAUCGACAGUGAUUUUAAUUUUGAUUCAGUUUUAGGAUAACUUCCAACUUAUCACAAACGGAUAUUUCUCCGGUUAAUAUGAAAAAUGGUUUGAAGUCCGGCGUUGAAAUAGGCUCCACGAUUUGAAGCGUAUAAAGUAAGACAAUAAGUCGAAUUAAAGCUAUCCCUGCUCCCCAACCCUAGCACAGUUGCAUUCAGCUUUUCAAUUGAAUAUUACCCAUCUUCUUCAUCAUCAUCUUUAAUGGCAAAGAGAUCCAUGAGGUCCUUAUCCGACUUACCCGAAGGAAUGAUCACAGAAAUACUCAUCAGACUUCCCGAGAAAUCAGUGCUGAUAUGUAAGUCCGUUUGCAAGCCAUGGCUAUCCACCAUCUCGAACCCUGGUUUCAUGAAAUAUCAAAUCCAGCAUGCCAUGAAUAACCCUAAUACUUUGCUAGUCAUCAAAAAUUAUGCCCUCGGAGAUGAAAAGAGAGGUACAUUUACGACACUAGACAUGUUUCCUAAAGUUAAAAGUCUUGUUAUGCCAAGUAUGUUCUCUCAAUUUCCAGUUGUUGGUUACUCUAAUGGCAUUGUUUGUUUAGAAAAUAUCUCGAAUUAUGCUAUUUACCUCUGGAAUCCGACUAUUAGGCAGUACAAGAAAAUCGAUGCUCCUUUUCGAUGCAGAUUCAACUAUAAGUUAGGUUUUGGUUUUGAUUCUAUUUCUAACGACUACAAGGUAUUUGGUAUUGUGUAUGAAACAUGGACUGCCGUUAU